GGAGACGCGUAACGCGCGAGCGUCCUCCGGCCGGCCCCUUCCUCGUCGUCCUCGUCGUCCUCGUCGUCCUCGCAAAUGCGGACUCAGAGCAAAGCAGCUCCCUUUGGCACGGGGAGGAGCGCCGCUAACUCGACCACGCUCGCUCCCGUGAGGCGGCUCGCUUGCCGGCGAUCUCCGACGGACGGCUCGCUAGGAGGUACGCCGCCCGUUAGAACGCGUGCCGUUGCUACCGGCUUUCUUUCCGCGACGCCGCUAAGCACGCCUGCGUCCAGUCGGCGCGUACUCGCGUACCGCUGGCGGCCUCUUCCCGCGGCGCCGCCCGCGUUGGCGACGCGGUGCCCGAUGCCGGAGUGAAGCCAGCGGUUCACUGCUGUGGCGCCGCCUGCCGGAAGGGCCGGAAAGCGCACCCGGAGCCGACCCGCCGCCGCGCUGCCAGAAAUGAGAAAAUGGAACCGAGGGAGCUUGUGAAAGAGGAGAUCCUUGAGACAAAGCGCAGUGCCAGCCAGAAGCUCAGCCUCGGAUACCUGCACGUGGCCGUCAGACAGAAGAUGGGCAUGAAGACGAGAGCAGAGACAGACCCUACAUUGCACCAAGGCCACGUCAGCUAUGCAGGAGACAGUGGACCUGCAAAUGCAACAAGAAACAGGAAGCUCUUCUUUAACGUCCGUUGUUGCCUUCGUCCUCCCAGCGGCUUCUCCUGCAAGAAGAUGUGGAUGAAGAUCAAGUGAGCACCAGGCUGCCGCCAUAUGUGCAGGAACACCUGCAGAAUAAAAAGUCCUGUUCAC
rnacentral:lncRNA from 7 species